GCGUCCAUAGCUCAGCUGGAUAGAGCAACAGCCUUCUAAGCUGUAGGUCGCCCGUUCGAGCCGGGCUGGACGCG
rnacentral:tRNA from 1 species